rnacentral:lncRNA from 1 species
CCUGAAACAAAGCCCCAGGGCAGACCUGGCUCAGCUGUAGACACUGGCUCUGGCUACAGAGACCGUGACCUAAUUUCCAGUUUUCUAACUGGCCCUGCUAUGGAGGCGGUAAGCCAUAUGUCUCCCCUUCCCCACAAACCAUAUUUCUUACGUCUUUGGAAGCCUCUCUGGUCCUGUGGUCCCCCUGGGGGACAGGGACCCCUCAGGGACCCACUGCUGCUCCAGCCCCUUCCCCGUUCCCCUUCCCCUGGGAGCCCCGUUUCCCAGGCUGGGGGGCGUUAUGAGAGGGCGGGGCUCCUCUCCACCGUCCUUUUCUCUCUGCUGUCCCCACACCCCAUCUUUCAUCAUGAUUACACCCGGCCUCUCUGAGAGGGAAGGAGGGAGGGAAAGGGGGAGAGAGGAGGGAGGAGGAGGUGGGAAAGGAUAAGGGGGAGGAAAAUGGGGGUCCCUGGGGAGGGCCAGGAAGAGAGGAGAAGGAGGCAAAGGUUAAGGGGCACCCCUGGGCCGGAGUGUCACUCCUUACCGCCUCCAAGUCUUUCUUCCAAUGUCACCUUCUCAAAGAGCCCCCUCUGUCCUCACUGUUUAAAAUGACAACCGCUCACCCCACUCCCAACCCUCCAACUCUGCUCUGCUUUUUCUUUUGGUUUUCCUACGCGGCCCACAUUCUCUUCUAACACACCAUCUAAUUUACUUCCUCUCUCUGUUUCCUUUGGUUCUCGUCUGUCUCUGAUUGCCUUGCCCCCGCCAUUGGGAUGUACUUUUGUCUGUUUUGUUCACAGAGGUAUCCCAAGGCUCUGUAGUGGCCGGGAUCUGGUAGGCACUCAAGAAACACGUGUUGACCGAAUGCAUGUGUGAACGCCCUCGAAGCCAAGGAAUAGGCUGGCCACCCUGCGGAGGGACGGACUCCAGGUCUCCGUCCGGCUGCGGCUGCCUCCCGUGCUGUGUCCAGCUGGACACAGGCUGGUCUCCUCUUCCUCCAGCCCCACCUGGGACCGAGCAAGCAGCCUCUGGGGAUCCUCCUUCCCAGCCUCUGCAGGGUCCGUUCCCAGCUCCAGGGCAUCCUUGGAAAGCAUGUACUUGGCACCUCGCUCCUGGCAGCCAAGAUGUGGAAGAGCCCAGCUCCAGCUGCCGGCUCCUCGAGGCCUUUGUCCACCUCAUCUGCCCAGCAAUGGUCUCUGUCCCAGCCAGGCUGCCUCUGGGGAACCUCUCAGAAACUUCUCAGGAGAGGCCCAGCAACAGAGCGGGUGUGACAAGGUCUUGCUCCGGCCUCCUGCUCAGCGAUCAUCUGUAUCUUCCUUCUGAGCAUGGUCACACUGCCUCCUCCCGACGGGGGGAAAGACAGAGGGGUUUCCCCACUUACGCCUGUCCAUUUUGGGGAGGGCUUUUGAUGGUCAGGCUGGGCCCUCCACACCCUGGGAGCGUGGAUCAGGGACCCUGGAGCUCUCCUACAUCCCGCGCCAUCCUGAGGGUUCCCAACAGGCUUCCCCGCCUUAGCAGAUCCAAACCCCUCUCCUUCACCCCACCUCAUCCCACCUGCCUUGUUGAAUGGCGCUCCUAA